rnacentral:rRNA from 1 species
UGGGGAAUUUUGCACAAUGGGGGAAACCCUGAUGCAGCUACGCCGCGUGAUUUAGAAGGCCUUCGGCUUGUAAAAAUCUUUUCUAUGGGAAGAAAAUGACAGUACCAUAGGAAUAAGGACCGGCUAAUUACGUGCCAGCAGCCGCGUUAAUACGUAAGGUCCGAGCGUUGUCCGGAAUCAUUGUGCGUAAAGGGUACGUAGGCGGGUAAGCAAGUUAGAAGUGAAAUCCUAUAGCUCAACUAUAGUAAGCUUUUAAAACUGCUCAUCUUGAGGUAUGGAAGGGAAAGUAGAAUUCCUGGUGUAGCGGUGAAAUGCGCAGAUAUUAGGAGGAAUACCGGUGGCGAAGGCGACUUUCUGGACAUAAACUGACGCUGAGGUACGAAAGCGUGGGUAGCAAACAGG